GAAACGCCGCGCCCCGCAGGCCGCUGGCUGAGCCUGGGCUUGCUGAGACGCUCGCCGCCUCUGCCCCGUCCUUGGGUCCCGGCGUUGGCCUCCUGCGCUGGGUCAGCUUCCCGGGCGGUGCCUUCCCGGCCUCAGUCCGUGCCCCAGCCCCUGCGUAUGCCCACCUCCUCCUGGACGGCAAGCCCGCGGAUCCAGGGUGCGGAGAGGUCUGCGGCCCGACCUCUCUGGCUCGCCGCCUGGUGUCGCGUCAGGUGGGGGAACUCAGCCCCAUGCGGAGCGGAUCAGCUCUCUCGGCCCUCGGGCGCACAGAAAGCGCUAGAACUUUCAGAAAAGAGUUGAGUUGCGAGAAAUUAUGUAAGUGCCAUAGUCCCUGCUUAAAAACCCUGCAGGCCGCACCUGCCGGGCAAAGCCUAACUCCUUUAACUGGCAUCUGAGGCCCUUCUCAAAGCCUUGUUUCCUCUCCUUCCCUCUUAUCCUAAACAUCUUCUACUAGAGCCUUGGUUCUCGGACUCCAGGAUAUUUCAGAAUCGCCUGGAGGACUUGCCGGACAACGGACACCCAGCAAUGCUCAAUAAAUGUGGAAAUAAAGAGCAGGUGAAGCCCAACUUCCUGUUUCACCAGCUGACCCCAACAUUUUUGGAAAGCCUGGCGUGUUCAAGCACCGCAUAGACAAGAUCUGAACCCCUGCUUCCCUCCCCUGAACCUAGCAGGACCACUGAGAGACGGAAGGGGAGAAGGAGAGGCGUGCGCAGGACAGCCAGGUGCACGCCCAACCGUGAAGGAGGAACCAAUAAAAAGAGCAAAACCAAGAUUUAAGAUUUAUAAUGAAGAUUUUAAGAACCAUACACAAGAGAUAUGGAAAAAGAAAUGGUUGGGGGGAAAAUUUUUGAAAGCAAUGAUAAAAGGGUUUGGAAGUUGCCAGGAGAUGAGCUUAGAUGAAAGAAUUCUAAACUGUGUUGAGUACAGGAGAUGCAGUUAUUUGAUGGCACUUAAAUAAAACCUCCUUUAAUCAUC